rnacentral:rRNA from 1 species
GGAAUAUUGGACAAUGGGCGAAAGCCUGAUCCAGCAAUGCCGCGUGAGUGAUGAAGGCCUUAGGGUUGUAAAGCUCUUUCGGCGGGGACGAUGAUGACGGUACCCGCAGAAGAAGCCCCGGCUAACUCCGUGCCAGCAGCCGCGGUAAUACGGAGGGGGCAAGCGUUAAUCGGAAUUACUGGGCGUAAAGCGCGCGUAGGCGGCUUUGUAAGUCGGAUGUGAAAGCCCUGGGCUUAACCUGGGAAUUGCAUUCGAUACUGCAUGGCUAGAGUAUGGUAGAGGGAAGUGGAAUUUCCGGUGUAGCGGUGAAAUGCGUAGAUAUCGGAAGGAACACCAGUGGCGAAGGCGACUUCCUGGGCCAAUACUGACGCUGAGGUGCGAAAGCGUGGGGAGCAAA